UGGGGUGUGGUCCAAUGGCAAGACACGCGACUCUGGCUCGUGUAAUCGGGGUUCGAAUCCCUGCACCCCAGCAA
rnacentral:tRNA from 1 species